GGGGUACCAGUGAGGACGAGCUCGUAGUCGAAUUUCUGGUUGGCGUGAAUGCGGCUUCUGGUCGUGUUACCGUGCAGCCAUCCUCUUGAGAACCAUUGAGGCCUUCACUGGUCAUUGAUGGGUAUCGAGAUUUUUACUUUGAAAAAAUUAGAGUGUUCAGGCAGGCAUUGCCCGAAUACUUUAGCAUGGAAUAAUGGAAAAGGACUUUGUCCAUUUUUGUUGGUUAUUGGCCAAAGUAAUGAUUAAUAAGGGACAGUUGGGGGGCCUUAGUUUUUUAUUGGCAGAGGGGAAAUUCUUGGUUUUAUUAAAGACUAACGGGAGCAAAAUCCU
rnacentral:rRNA from 1 species